CCUACGGGUGGCAGCAGUGGGGAAUAUUGGUCAAUGGGCGCAAGCCUGACCCAGCCACGCAGCGUGCAGGAAGAAGGCUCUCGGGUUGUAAACUUCUUUUAUCAGGGACGAAGCACGUGACGGUACCUGAUGAAUAAGCCACGGCUAACUACGUGCCAGCAGCCGCGGUAAUACGUAGGUGGCCAGCGUUAUCCGGAUUUACUGGGUGUACAGGGCGUGUAGGCGGGAAGGCAAGUCAGAUGUGAAAACCACGGGCUCAACCCGUGGCCUGCAGUUGGAACUGGUUUGCUUGAGUACUGGGAAGGCAGGCGGAAUUCGUUGUGUAGCGGUGAAAUGCGUAGAUAUGACGAAGAACACC
rnacentral:rRNA from 1 species